rnacentral:rRNA from 2 species
UUUGAUUCAUGGCUCAGGACGAACGCUGGCGGCGUGCCUAAUACAUGCAAGUCGAACGAACUCUGGUAUUGAUUGGUGCUUGCAUCAUGAUUUACAUUUGAGUGAGUGGCGAACUGGUGAGUAACACGUGGGAAACCUGCCCAGAAGCGGGGGAUAACACCUGGAAACAGAUGCUAAUACCGCAUAACAACUUGGACCGCAUGGUCCGAGUUUGAAAGAUGGCUUCGGCUAUCACUUUUGGAUGGUCCCGCGGCGUAUUAGCUAGAUGGUGGGGUAAUGGCUCACCAUGGCAAUGAUACGUAGCCGACCUGAGAGGGUAAUCGGCCACAUUGGGACUGAGACACGGCCCAAACUCCUACGGGAGGCAGCAGUAGGGAAUCUUCCACAAUGGACGAAAGUCUGAUGGAGCAACGCCGCGUGAGUGAAGAAGGGUUUCGGCUCGUAAAACUCUGUUGUUAAAGAAGAACAUAUCUGAGAGUAACUGUUCAGGUAUUGACGGUAUUUAACCAGAAAGCCACGGCUAACUACGUGCCAGCAGCCGCGGUAAUACGUAGGUGGCAAGCGUUGUCCGGAUUUAUUGGGCGUAAAGCGAGCGCAGGCGGUUUUUUAAGUCUGAUGUGAAAGCCUUCGGCUCAACCGAAGAAGUGCAUCGGAAACUGGGAAACUUGAGUGCAGAAGAGGACAGUGGAACUCCAUGUGUAGCGGUGAAAUGCGUAGAUAUAUGGAAGAACACCAGUGGCGAAGGCGGCURUCUGGUCUGUAACUGACGCUGAGGCUCGAAAGUAUGGGUAGCAAACAGGAUUAGAUACCCUGGUAGUCCAUACCGUAAACGAUGAAUGCUAAGUGUUGGAGGGUUUCCGCCCUUCAGUGCUGCAGCUAACGCAUUAAGCAUUCCGCCUGGGGAGUACGGCCGCAAGGCUGAAACUCAAAGGAAUUGACGGGGGCCCGCACAAGCGGUGGAGCAUGUGGUUUAAUUCGAAGCUACGCGAAGAACCUUACCAGGUCUUGACAUACUAUGCAAAUCUAAGAGAUUAGACGUUCCCUUCGGGGACAUGGAUACAGGUGGUGCAUGGUUGUCGUCAGCUCGUGUCGUGAGAUGUUGGGUUAAGUCCCGCAACGAGCGCAACCCUUAUUAUCAGUUGCCAGCAUUAAGUUGGGCACUCUGGUGAGACUGCCGGUGACAAACCGGAGGAAGGUGGGGAUGACGUCAAAUCAUCAUGCCCCUUAUGACCUGGGCUACACACGUGCUACAAUGGAUGGUACAACGAGUUGCGAACUCGCGAGAGUAAGCUAAUCUCUUAAAGCCAUUCUCAGUUCGGAUUGUAGGCUGCAACUCGCCUACAUGAAGUCGGAAUCGCUAGUAAUCGCGGAUCAGCAUGCCGCGGUGAAU